rnacentral:rRNA from 1 species
AGUCAAGUAAUUAAGUGCAUGUGGUGGAUGCCUUGGCAGUCAGAGGCGAUGAAAGACGUGAUAGCCUGCGAAAAGCUCCGGGAGGCGGCAAAUAUCCUUUGAUCCGGAGAUGUCUGAAUGGGGGAACCCACCUACUUUAAGGUAGGUAUUGCAACAUGAAUACAUAGUGUUGCAAGGCGAACGAGGGGAAGUGAAACAUCUCAGUACCCUUAGGAAAAGAAAUCAAUUGAGAUUCCCUCAGUAGCGGCGAGCGAACGGGGAUCAGCCCAUUAAGUUAUGUGUGUUUUAGUGGAACGCUCUGGGAAGUGCGAACGUAGAGGGUGAUAUUCCCGUACACGAAAGGGCACACAUAAUGAUGACGAGUAGGGCGAGGCACGUGAAACCUUGUCUGAAUAUGGGGGGACCAUCCUCCAAGGCUAAAUACUCCUGACUGACCGAUAGUGAACCAGUACCGUGAGGGAAAGGCGAAAAGAACCCCUGUGAGGGGAGUGAAAUAGAUCCUGAAACCGCAUGCAUACAAGCAGUGGGAGCACCUUCGUGGUGUGACUGCGUACCUUUUGUAUAAUGGGUCAGCGACUUAUAUUCAGUAGCGAGGUUAACCGUAUAGGGGAGCCGUAGAGAAAUCGAGUCUUAAUAGGGCGUUUAGUUGCUGGGUAUAGACCCGAAACCAGGCGAUCUAUCCAUGAGCAGGUUGAAGGUUGGGUAACACUAACUGGAGGACCGAACCCACUGUCGUUGAAAAGCCAGGGGAUGACUUGUGGAUAGGGGUGAAAGGCUAAUCAAGCCUGGUGAUAGCUGGUUCUCCCCGAAAGCUAUUUAGGUAGCGCCUCGGACGAAUACCAUAGGGGGUAGAGCACUGUUUCGGCUAGUGGUCAUCCCGACUUACCAACCCGAUGCAAACACCGAAUACCUAUAAGUACUAUCCGGGAGACAGACUGCGGGUGCUAACGUCCGUAGUCAAGAGGAAAACAAUCCAGACCGCCAGCUAAGGCCCCAAAAUCAUAGUUAAGUGGGAAACGAUGUGGGAAGGCAUAGACAGCUAGGAGGUUGGCUUAGAAGCAGCCACCCUUUAAAGAAAGCGUAAUAGCUCACUAGUCGAGUCGGCCUGCGCGGAAGAUGUAACGGGGCUAAAACUAUGUGCCGAAGCUGCGGAUGUAUACUUUGUAUACGUGGUAGGGGAGCGUUCUGUAAGCCGAUGAAGGUGUGUUGAGAAGCAUGCUGGAGGUAUCAGAAGUGCGAAUGCUGACGUGAGUAACGACAAAACGGGUGAAAAACCCGUUCGCCGAAAGACCAAGGGUUCCAGUCCAACGUUAAUCGGGGCUGGGUGAGUCGACCCCUAAGGCGAGGCCGAAAGGCGUAGUCGAUGGGAAAAUGGUUAAUAUUCCAUUACUUCUGUGUAAUGCGAUGAGAGGACGGAGAAGGCUAAAUCAGCCUGGCGUUGGUUGUCCAGGUGAAAGGAUGUAGGCAUGUAUCUUAGGCAAAUCCGGGGUACUCUAUGCUGAGAUCUGAUAGCAAGCUGUACUUGUACAGCGAAGUGGUUGAUGCCAUGCUUCCAGGAAAAGUCUCUAAGCUUCAGUUACACAGGAAUCGUACCCGAAACCGACACAGGUGGUCAGGUCGAGUAGACCAAGGCGCUUGAGAGAACUCUGCUGAAGGAACUAGGCAAAAUGGUACCGUAACUUCGGGAGAAGGUACGCUGUUGUUGGUGAUGGAACUCGCUUCCUGAGCUGACGACAGCCGCAGAAACCAGGCCGCUGCAACUGUUUAUUAAAAACAUAGCACUCUGCAAACACGAAAGUGGACGUAUAGGGUGUGAUGCCUGCCCGGUGCUGGAAGGUUAAUUGAUGGGGUUAGCGUAAGCGAAGCUCUUGAUCGAAGCCCCAGUAAACGGCGGCCGUAACUAUAACGGUCCUAAGGUAGCGAAAUUCCUUGUCGGGUAAGUUCCGACCUGCACGAAUGGCAUAAUGAUGGCGGCGCUGUCUCCAGCAGAGGCUCAGUGAAAUCGAAAUCGCUGUGAAGAUGCAGUGUACCCGCGGCUAGACGGAAAGACCCCGUGAACCUUUACUGCAGCUUGACACUGAACUUUGACCUUACUUGUGUAGGAUAGGUGGGAGGCUUUGAAGCUGGAACGCUAGUUCCAGUGGAGCCGUCCUUGAAAUACCACCCUGGUAAUGUUGAGGUUCUAACUCUGUCCCGUGAUCCGGGACGAGGACCGUGUCUGGUGGGUAGUUUGACUGGGGCGGUCUCCUCCUAAAGAGUAACGGAGGAGUACGAAGGUGCGCUCAGCGUGGUCGGAAAUCACGCGUAGAGUAUAAAGGCAAAAGCGCGCUUAACUGCGAGACCCACAAGUCGAGCAGGUACGAAAGUAGGUCUUAGUGAUCCGGUGGUUCUGUAUGGAAGGGCCAUCGCUCAACGGAUAAAAGGUACUCUGGGGAUAACAGGCUGAUACCGCCCAAGAGUUCAUAUCGACGGCGGUGUUUGGCACCUCGAUGUCGGCUCAUCUCAUCCUGGGGCUGAAGCAGGUCCCAAGGGUAUGGCUGUUCGCCAUUUAAAGAGGUACGCGAGCUGGGUUUAGAACGUCGUGAGACAGUUCGGUCCCUAUCUACCGUGGGCGCUGGAAAUUUGAGAGGAUCUGCUCCUAGUACGAGAGGACCAGAGUGGACGAACCUCUGGUGUACCGGUUGUGACGCCAGUCGCAUCGCCGGGUAGCUAUGUUCGGAAGGGAUAACCGCUGAAAGCAUCUAAGCGGGAAGCCUACCUCAAGAUAAGAUUUCCCUAGGACUUUAUGUCCUCUAAAGAGCCGUUCGAGACUAGGACGUUGAUAGGUUGGAUGUGGAAGCAUAGUGAUAUGUGAAGCUGACCAAUACUAAUUGCUCGUGAGGCUUGACUAU